CCUACGGGAGGCAGCAGUAAGGAAUAUUGGUCAAUGGACGCAAGUCUGAACCAGCCAUGCCGCGUGAAGGAUUAAGGCCCUCUGGGUUGUAAACUUCUUUUAUAGGGGACGAAAAAAGGGCAUUCUUGCUCACUUGACGGUACCCUAGGAAUAAGCACCGGCUAACUCCGUGCCAGCAGCCGCGGUAAUACGGAGGGUGCAAGCGUUAUCCGGAUUUACUGGGUUUAAAGGGUGCGUAGGUGGGUUGGUAAGUCAGUGGUGAAAUCUUCGAGCUUAACUCGGAAACUGCCAUUGAUACUAUCAAUCUUGAAUCAUCUAGAGGUAAGCGGAAUAUGUCAUGUAGCGGUGAAAUGCUUAGAUAUGACAUAGAACACCAAUUGCGAAGGCAGCUUACUAUGGAUGCAUUGACACUGAGGCACGAAAGCGUGGGGGAUCAAACAGGAUUAGAUACCCUGGUAGUCCACGCCCUAAACGAUGGAUACUCGACAUUUGUGAUAUACAAUAAGUGUCUGAGCGAAAGCAUUAAGUAUCCCACCUGGAAGUACGACCGCAAGGUUGAAACUUAAAGGAAUUAGACGG
rnacentral:rRNA from 1 species